UAUCUCUGGAGACAUCCGGCAAGACCGGAGGCCGAAGGUGCAACACAUGCUGUAUUACAUGUGAAUCUCUCAGGCGAAAGGACAGAGAAU
rnacentral:ncRNA from 1 species